AGAGAACAGAAACAACGAUUCUUCAAAAAUGUAGACCAAAUCAGGAAGCUGAGGAUGCAAUACACAACUCAACUAAUGCUUUUGAAGAAAACACUGAAUGUAGGAUCAACAAAAGAUUAUCAAGAAAAAUUACAAAAGAGUAGUAUUACAUGUUCAUUUAUAAAUUUAUAUAUGUUCAUUUAUACAAAGAUAUAUGUUCUUAUAUGUGUUCAAUAGAACUUAUAGAUUUUACUCGCUUAA